rnacentral:rRNA from 1 species
UACGUAGGGUGCGAGCGUUGUCCGGAAUUAUUGGGCGUAAAGAGCUCGUAGGCGGUGUGUCGCGUCGGCCGUGAAAACCUGGGGCUCAACUCUGGGCGUGCGGUCGAUACGGGCAUCACUUGAGUUCGGCAGGGGAGACUGGAAUUCCUGGUGUAGCGGUGAAAUGCGCAGAUAUCUGGAGGAACACCGGUGGCGAAGGCGGCAUCCUGGACCGACACUGACGCUGAGGCGCGAAAGCUAGGGGAGCAAACGGG